rnacentral:rRNA from 1 species
GACGAACGCUGGCGGCGUGCUUAACACAUGCAAGUCGAACGGAAAGGCCCUGCUUUUGUGGGGUGCUCGAGUGGCGAACGGGUGAGUAACACGUGAGUAACCUGCCCUUGACUUUGGGAUAACUUCCGGAAACUGGGGCUAAUACCGGAUCGGAGCUCCUGCUGCAUGGUGGGGGUUGGAAAGUUUCGGCGGUUGGGGAUGGACUCGCGGCUUAUCAGCUUGUUGGUGGGGUAGUGGCUUACCAAGGCUUUGACGGGUAGCCGGCCUGAGAGGGUGACCGGCGACAAUAGGACUGAGAUACGGCGCAGACGCCUACGGGAGGCAGCAGGGGGGAAUAUGGCACAAUGGGCGGAAGCCUGAUGCAGCAACGCCGCGGGCGGGAUGACGGCCUUCGGGGUGUAAAACGCUUUCGCCUGUGACGAAGCGUGAGUGACGGUAAUGGGUAAAGAAGCACCGGCUAACUACGUG